AAUCUUCCACAAUGGACGAAAGUACGAUGGAGCAACGCCGCGUGAGUGAAGAAGGAUUUCGGAUCGUAACACUCUGUUGUAAGGUAUGAACAAGUACAGUAGUAACUGGCUGUACCUUGACGGUACCUUAUUAGAAAGCCACGGCUAAUAACUUACUAGCAGCCGCGGUAAUACGUAGGUGGCAAGAGUUGUCCGGAAUUAUUGGGCGUAAAGCGCGCGCAAGCGGUCCUUUAAGUCUGAUGUGAAAGCCCACGGCUCAGCCGUAGAGGGUCAUUGGAAACUGGGGGACUUGAGUGCAGAAGAGGAAAGUGGAAUUCCAAGUGUAGCGGUGAAAUGCGUAGAGAUUUGGAGGAACACCAGUGGCGAAGGCGACUUUCUGGUCUGUAACUGACGCUGAGGCGCGAAAGCGUGGGGAGCAAACAGG
rnacentral:rRNA from 1 species